CCUACGGGAGGCAGCAGUGAGGAAUAUUGGUCAAUGGGCGAGCGCCUGAACCAGCCAAGUCGCGUGAGGGAUGACGGUCCUAUGGAUUGUAAACCUCUUUUGUCGGGGAGCAAAGGCCUCCACGUGUGGACUGAUGAGUGUACCCGAAGAAAAAGCAUCGGCUAACUCCGUGCGAGCCGCCGCGGUAAUACGGAGGAUGCGAGCGUUAUCCGGAUUUGUUGGGUUUAAAGGGUGCGUAGGCGGACAGUCAAGUCAGCGGUAAAAAUGCGGUGCUCAACGCCGUACAGCCGUUGAAACUGGCAGUCUUGAGUGGGCGAGAAGUAUGCGGAAUGCGUGGUGUAGCGGUGAAAUGCAUAGAUAUCACGCAGAACUCCGAUUGCGAAGGCAGCAUACCGGCGCCCUACUGACGCUGAGGCACGAAAGCGUGGGUAUCGAACAGGAUUAGAUACCCCAGUAGUC
rnacentral:rRNA from 1 species